rnacentral:lncRNA from 1 species
UAAAACUCCAACUGCAACUAAAACCUUAAUAGAAAACAUGUCAGUCAACUCACAACAAUUCACAACCAGAAACAACUUUGUGGUUCUAACAAAAAGAGUGCAUGAAAUUCAAGCUUCUUCUUCCAACAAGGUUUUAGAAACCAAAAUUGACGAGCUUACUUCACUAGUGAGACACCCGGCAGUAGGAAAAACUCAAACUGAAAGGUUAUAUGGCAUUU